ensembl:lncRNA
AGUGAGAAUUCAGGAGAAAUGUGUCAACAAAAUCACUUCUUGUUUAUUCCUUUGGAUAUUCGGUAGCUCGUAUAUUGGAGAAAACGAGGCGGUGUAUUUACAGUAUCCAGGCCGUCCGAGCUGACAGUGAUGAAGGGGAUGACUCACAGGAAAUAUAAACUAAAUCAGCUGUGGCCAGUUUACAGCUAACUCUUCACUCCCAGUCAGUCACUUCCAAAAAAUGGCGGCGGGUAGUUUUCACCUCCUUCACUUCGUGGAAAACACGGGAGAAAUUUUGUAGAACCGAUUCGUGGGAAUGAUUCGGACUUCACAUCACUAUAGUGAGGCGUUCACAACCAGCUGGGCGGGGACAAAACAAGUACCAACUUUUGGAGGAACAGAUUUGGAGAAAUGUAGCAUUACAUCACUUGCUCACCAGUGGAUCCUCUGCAAUGAACGGGUGCCAUCAGAGUCCAAACAGCUGAAAAACACAUCACAAUAACACAAGUACUCCCCAUGACUCCAGUCCAUCAAAUAACGUUUUGUGAAGUGAAAAGCUGCAUGUUGCUGUGCAUGUUCUCACAAAAAAUAAGAGUUGUUUAUCAAUAACAUUGCUUUCUCCAAUAUAGGUUUGGUCCAAAUUAUAUGGGUACAUUGUAAGCUUUACCAUGCACAUAAUACACUGUGCAAAUGUACACUUUUGUGUGUUCACUUUUAUGAAAAGAAAAAGCAUGCAAGUAUGAUUUGUUUGUGCUUCCAGACAUCACAGUGGAGAAUGUCUACUGUUAUUGAUUCCAAAAGUUUACAAACACCUCCACUGGCCAUCUACUUUCUAAAUAACAGCUGGUCCAAAUUCUUUUAUCUCUGUCUACUGUGCAAUUAAUAGUUACUGAGGUUUGCUUAUAACAGUACACUAAAUUCUAUAGACUGCCUAUAGCUAUCACCUCUCACGUAACUGUCUAAACGGAUAUGGAGGAUGCUUAUGUAGUCUUGGGAUUAAUUUAAUAGGCUUAAAAUAUGUAUUUAAAGCAUAUGUAGCCAAUAUACAGUACAGGUCAAAAGUUUGGAAACAUUACUAUUUUUAAUGUUUUUGAAAGAAGUCUCUUCUGCUCAUUAAGCCUGCAUUUAUUUGAUCAAAAAUACAGAAAAAACAGUAAUAUUGUGAAAUAUUAUUACAACUUAAAAUAAUAGUUUUCUAUUUGAAUAUACUUAAAAAAAAAAUAAUUAAUUCCUGUGAUGCAAAGUUGAAUUUUCAGUAUCAUUACUCCAGUCUUCAGUGUCACAUGAUCCUUCAGAAAUCAUUCUAAUAUGCUGAUUUGCUGCUCACUAAACAUUUCUUACAAUUAUGAAUACUGAAAACAGUUGUGCAGCUUACUAUUUUUGUUGAAAAGGUAAAUUAAAAAAUUAAAUCUUUUGUAACAUUAUAAAUGACUUUACUGUCGCUUUUGAUCAAUUUAAUGUGCACCUGCUGAAAAAAGUAUUAAUUUCUGAAAAAUAUUAAA